rnacentral:rRNA from 1 species
UACGGAGGGGGCUAGCGUUGUUCGGAAUUACUGGGCGUAAAGCGCACGUAGGCGGCUUUGCAAGUUAGAGGUGAAAGCCCGGGGCUCAACUCCGGAAUUGCCUUUAAAACUGCAUCGCUAGAAUUGUGGAGAGGUAAGUGGAAUUCCGAGCGUAGAGGUGAAAUUCGUAGAUAUUCGGAAGAACACCAGUGGCGAAGGCGACUUACUGGACACAUAUUGACGCUGAGGUGCGAAAGCGUGGGGAGCAAACAGG